rnacentral:rRNA from 1 species
GCUCAGCCCUAAACUUUAAUAGUACUAUUAUUGACUAUUCGCCUGGGGACUACGAGCGCUAGCUUAAAACCCAAAGGACUUGGCGGUGCUUUAGAUCCCCCUAGAGGAGCCUGUUCUAGAACCGAUAACCCCCGUUUAACCUCACCCCCUCUUGCUCUUACCGCUUAUAUACCGCCGUCGUCAGCUUACCCUGUGAGGGACUAAUAGUGAGCAAAAUCAGUACAACUUAAAACGCCAGGUCGAGGUGUAGCAUAUGAGGGGGGAAGAAAUGGGCUACAUUUUCUGAAGCAGAAAAUACGGAUUAUGUAAUGAAAACGCAUUAUGAAGGAGGAUUUAGUAGUAAGCAAAAAAUAGAGUGUUUUGCUGAAACCGGCCCUGAAGCGCGC